UAAGUCUUAGUGUAACUAAACACUUAAAGUUUACACCUUUACAAUGUCUUAGGACAGAUUUAU
rnacentral:tRNA from 1 species